CACGUAGGGCGCAAGCGUUGUCCGGAAUUAUUGGGCGUAAAGAGCUCGUAGGCGGUCUGUUGCGUCCGCUGUGAAAACCCGGGGCUUAACCCUGGGCUGGCAGUGGAUACGGACAGACUAGAGGUAGGUAGGGGAGAAUGGAAUUCCCGGUGUAGCGGUGAAAUGCGCAGAUAUCAGGAAGAACACCCGUGGCGAAGGCGGCUCUCUGGGACGGUACUGACGCUGAGACGCGAAAGCGUGGGGAGCAAACAGG
rnacentral:rRNA from 1 species